rnacentral:sRNA from 1 species
UUACGAAUAGCACUUACCGAUGGUCCC